CUUCCUGGCCAGUAGUGUCUUAUGUGUGGGAACAGGUUUUUUUUGUGUAGGGCUGUCCUCUGUGUUUGUGUCUGCUGUUUGUUUGUCUGUGUGUUUUUGGGGCUGGAGCUGCCUUGCCUGUGGGUGUUAGCCAUGGUGGUGUGUGGAGUGUGUCCGUGAUGGACUGGAGUGGUGGUGUUGCAGGCAUCGUCUGAGUGUGUGAUUUCUCUCUGUGCUUGCAGGUUUUGUGGGAAGUUGUGGAGAGAAGCAGCUGAGUGCUGAGAAGAGCCUGAGCAGGUCUGCUGUGGGCCUUUCCCAGGCGUGGCUGAGACUUUCAGGUGCCACGGGCUUCCUCCCCAGGCAUUGGAGUUGUUGUGGUGCAGGUGAUGAAGGCAAAUGUGGUGAGCAAAGGAAGAUCAGUGUGGAUGCGGCUGCUGCUGAGGAUGGCUCUUGAGGACCGGUGACCUACAGCACUGCCACAGUUAAGUUGAGGGGCAAAGGGUGUUGGGGCAUCCUCAGUUUCUGUGUAUGUGUGUGUGCGUGCUGAUGUUCAGUGUAGAGUGGAGGGUUGUUCUGGAUGAGUGGUGUGUGUGAGGCAGAGGCAGUGGGGUGUGCAUGGCAGAAAGCGAGGGUGGGUGUCAGGCAGGGCAGCUCCAGCCUGUGUCUGUGUUGUUGUGUAGUCUAUGUGGUGUGUGUUGUAGCUGUGCUAUCUUUUGCUCAGGUCUUGAUGUUGCUCUUGCUCUUUGUGCUCAAGGAGCACAGCCUAUGCUCUGCAGCAGUAGUGUGGCAGGCAUCCAUUGUCUUUUGCCUGGCCAGACUCAUCAGCAUUGCUCCAAUGGACUACGUCUUGUUCUGCAUAGGCAGCUGAAAGGGGUGGUCUGUGACUCUGACUGUGCAUCGUGGCCGUUUGCGGUCCGUCAUAGUCGUGGCCACCGUUGAGGCCUCAUCGGCCACACCUCUUCCGGGGCCGCUCUUGUCUUGCG